GGAGUGUCACUUUCUGUGGAGAGGCACAAUUGCAGUGGUUUGCAUUGUUCAAAUUUGAUACCUGGACGAUAUCCAGUGAUUAGCUGCUUCAAUUGGCUUUAUUUAAUUGAAUCGGCACUGUUGCGGUGAUUUGCCCUGUUCAAAUAAACACUGGGACGACACUCGGUGAUCAGUCACUUUAUGGGCUUGAUGUAAUCUAAUUGGUAUGUACGAUGAGUAUAA